rnacentral:rRNA from 1 species
UACGUAGGGUGCGAGCGUUUAAUCGGAAUUACUGGGCGUAAAGUGUGCGCAGGCGGCCGCGCAAGUCGAGUGUGAAAGCCCCGAGCUUAACUUGGGAAUUGCGCUCGAAACUACGUGGCUGGAGUGUGGCAGAGGAAGGUGGAAUUCCACGUGUAGCGGUGAAAUGCGUAGAGAUGUGGAGGAACACCAAUGGCGAAGGCAGCCUUCUGGGCCAACACUGACGCUCAUGCACGAAAGCGUGGGGAGCAAACAGG